GCAUUUCGCUUGUAAUUUAUUUAAAAUUUGUUGGCUGGUGGUGGUGGCAGCAAGCUUCAACCCUAGUGCAGCUGGGAUAACAGUUGGUUGCUUUGGUAUGAGUGAAUUGGGAAUUGUAGUUUGAUUUGAUAACAUAACUAAAACAUGCUAUGAUUUAUUAAUGAAUUGGUAUUUGCAUAGUUAUAAGUACUUAACUCUUCCAAGUGACUUAACGAAUUCCUCCAAAUUGGUUAUUAUUGGUGCU
rnacentral:misc_RNA from 1 species